rnacentral:rRNA from 1 species
AUACGUAGGUGACAAGCGUUAUCCGGAUUUACUGGGCGUAAAGGGCGUGUAGGCGGUCUUACAAGUCAGAUGUGAAAUUCCCGGGCUCAACUUGGGCGCUGCAUCUGAAACUGCAAGACUUGAGUGCUGGAGGGGAUAGCGGAAUUCCUAGUGGAGCGGUAAAAUGCGCAGAGAUUAGGAAGAACACCGGUGGCGAAGGCGGCUAUCUGGACAGUAACUGACGCUGAGGCGCGAAAGCGUGGGGAGCAAACAGGAUUAGAUACCCUGGUAGUCCACGCUGUAAACGAUGAUUACUAGGUGUGGGGGGACUGACCCCUUCCGUGCCGCAGUUAACACAAUAAGUAUUCCACCUGGGGAGUACGGCCGCAAGAUUGAAACUCAAAGGAAUUGACGGGG